rnacentral:rRNA from 1 species
GUCUGAGAGGAUGAUCACCCACACUGGGACUGAGACACUGCCCAGACUCCUACGGGAGGCUGCAGUCGAGGAUCAUUUGCAAUGCGCGGAAGCGUGACAAUGCGACGCUGCGUGGAGGAUGAAGGCCCUAGGGUCGUAAACUCCUGUCAUUCGGGAAAAAUGGCCCAGAGGUUAAUACCCUCAGGGUGUGAUCGUACCGAAAGAGGAAGCCACGGCUAACUCUGUGCCAGCAGCCGCGGUAAUACAGAGGUGGCGAGCGUUGUUCGGAUUUACUGGGCGUAAAGGGUGCGUAGGUGGUAUCGUGUGUCGGAUGUGAAAGCCCAUUGCUCAACGAUGGAACUGCAUCCGAAACUGCGGAACUAGAGUGCAGGAAGGGAGAGCGGAAUUCUUGGUGUAGCGGUGAAAUGCGUUGAUAUCAAGAAGAACACCGGUGGCGAAGGCGGCUCUCUGGAAUGUUACUGACACUGAGGCACGAAAGCUGGGGGAGCAAACAGGAUUAGAUACCCUGGUAGUCCCAGCCGUAAACGGUGUGCACUUGGUGUAGGCGGUAUUGACCCCGCCUGUGCCGGAGCUGACGCGUUAAGUGCACCGCCUGGGGAGUACGGCCGCAAGGCUAAAACUCAAAGAAAUUGACGGGGGCCCGCACAAGCGGAGGAGCAUGUGGCUUAAUUCGAUGCAACGCGAAGAACCUUACCAGGGCUUGACAUGUAACUGCACGCCCGCCGAAAGGUGGGAAGCCUUCGAGGGUGUUACACAGGUGCUGCAUGGCUGUCGUCAGUUCGUGCCGUGAGGUGUUGGGUUAAGUCCCGCAACGAACGCAACCCUUGUGUUUAGUUGCUACCGCAGGUGAUGAGCCUGCUGGCACUCUAGACAGACUGCCCGUACAAGCGGGAGGAAGGUGGGGAUGACGUCAAGUCAGUAUGGCCCUUAUGUCCUGGGCUGCACACGUGCUACAAUGGUUGGUACAGAGGGAAGCAAGACCGCGAGGUGGAGCAAAUCCCCAAAACCGGCCCCAGUUCGGAUUGGAGUCUGCAACUCGACUCCAUGAAGUUGGAUUCGCUAGUAACGGCGUAUCAGCUACGACGCCGUGAAUACGUUCCCGGGCCUUGUACACACCGCCCGUCACAUCAUGAAAGCCGUCUGCACCCGAAGUCGCUGAGCUAACCCGCAAGGGAGGCAGGUGCCGAAGGUGUGGGUGGUGAUUGGGAUGAAGUCGUAACAAGGUA